rnacentral:misc_RNA from 1 species
ACACUUUUAAUUGAUGGUUUUCCUUUUUUUUUCUUUAACACGAAAAAAAAGGACAAGCCUAAUCCAAACCAAAUUACCCAAAUUUUUUUACAAAGUGCUGGUGUUUUGCAAUUAUUUUGCGAAACCAUUUUUUCUUUUUAAACAAAAACCCCAAAUCUUUCAUUGCAAAUGCAAUUGACAAUCUUAAAAAUACAAAACUACUAAUGUAACCAAA